rnacentral:lncRNA from 1 species
AUCUGCAGCCCCGGCUGGCGAUGCUGACAAAGCCGCUGCUGUCCCGGCGCCUGUCGAUGAGGCCACGCCCAUGGACGAGGACGCUCUGCUGCAGCAAGCCCUGGCAAUGUCCAUGCAGGUAGGGCUGCUGUCCUCUCAGUGCCUGAUCAAUUUAGCAUUUCAGCUUUGAGCCGUAAAAUGACUUAUUUCUGUACCUGUGAAUAUGCACACCAGUUUGUCAUUCUGUGGAGGAGGGCGCAGAGCGCCUUUCACAUCCAACAUGAUUGCUGCUGGGACAGGUUGACAGUGCAGCUGCUGGCGAGGCUCAGCCCAACAGUGCCGCUCCUUCUGCAGCCGCCCCAAAUGCAAGCAGUGGCGUAGACGCGGCAAUGGAUGAUGUCGACGAUGAGGACCUGCGCUUGGCCCUGCAGAUGUCCAUGGCGG